UACGUAGGGUCCGAGCGUUAAUCGGAAUUACUGGGCGUAAAGCGUGCGCAGGCGGUUUUGUAAGUCAGGUGUGAAAGCCCCGGGCUCAACCUGGGAACUGCAUUUGGGACUGCAAGGCUGGAGUACGGCAGAGGGAGGUGGAAUUCCACGUGUAGCAGUGAAAUGCGUAGAGAUGUGGAGGAACACCGAUGGCGAAGGCAGCCUCCUGGGCUAGUACUGACGCUCAUGCACGAAAGCGUGGGGAGCAAACAGG
rnacentral:rRNA from 1 species